UACGAAGGGGGCUAGCGUUGUUCGGAAUUACUGGGCGUAAAGCGUGCGCAGGCGGCCAUCCAAGUCAGUGGUGAAAGCCCGGAGCUCAACUCCGGAAUUGCCAUUGAAACUGUUCGGCUCGAGUACGAGAGAGGUGAGUGGAAUUCCCAGUGUAGAGGUGAAAUUCGUAGAUAUUGGGAAGAACACCGGUGGCGAAGGCGGCUCACUGGCUCGUAUCUGACGCUCAGGCGCGAUAGCGUGGGGAUCAAACAGG
rnacentral:rRNA from 1 species